rnacentral:rRNA from 1 species
UACUAGAGUAGCACUCGCAUAUCAAUAAGCGGAGGAAAAGAAACUAACAAGGAUUCCCCUAGUAACGGCGAGUGAAGUGGGAAGAGCUCAAAUUUGAAAUCUUAAAGGGUUUCCCUUUACGAAUUGUAGUUUAAAGAAGUGUUUUCUGUUGAGGUUUUGGUAAAAGUUCUUUGGAAUAGGACAUCAUAGAGGGUGAGAAUCCCGUAUUUGACCUUUACUUUCAACUUUGUGAUACACUUUCAAAGAGUCGGAUUGUUUGGGAAUGCAGUCCAAAAUGGGUGGUGAAUUUCAUCUAAAGCUAAAUAUUGGCGAGAGACCGAUAGCGAACAAGUACCGUGAGGGAAAGAUGAAAAGAACUUUGAAAAGAGAGUUAAACAGUACGUGAAAUUGUCAAAAGGGAAGCGUUUGACACCAGUGUUGUUUUUCUGAAAAUCAAUUAAAGAACUGUUUAUGCUAAGCUGUUUAGACUUUAUCAGCUAUCUGUUUAGUUUUGAGCUUUUCUUUAAUGCACUUUUCAGUUAACAAGUCAACAUCAAUUUCUUUUGCUGUAAAAAAGCUUGAGGAAGGUGGCUUGAGAUUCGUCUUAAGUGUUUAUAGCCUCUUGCCUAUGCAGUCGGAGAGAUUGAGGUCUGCAGCGUAGAUCCUUCGGGGCUAAAUGCAUUUGUGCUAAGUUAUAGCAUUUUAUAGACAACUUGUUGACUAUGAUUUGUCUUGUAGCUUACUCGCUUAUGUUAUUUUACCUACGCUUAGGAUGUUGAGCGCAUGUCUCUCUCU